rnacentral:lncRNA from 1 species
GCAUAUUAUAGUUACGUCGUAAUAUUUAUUUCAAACUUAUUUGUUUCACACUAGCUGAAGAAAGAACGCUUAAAAUUUAUGUAAAAUACUUUCAAUGACCCUACUUUCUGGAUUUUUUUUUCAGGAAGCGCACGAGUACGGGUUUGUGAAGAUUUUUGUCUAAUGUCGCUCUCAGUGAGAUUCAAACACGAUCUUGUUCCGCUCUAUCCCCCCUCUCCGAAAUAAACAGCAUAUCCCUCCCCGCUCACCCUUCAAAUCAUUAUGUGAAAUACCAUCGCGUGUUGAUUUUAUAGAUCGAGAAAACAACACUUCAUUGCGUAAAAGUAGAAUUCAUUCGUGCUCAACUUUAUAUUUGAACGAAUAUAGCACACACGCAAAACGAGACCUGUCUUCGAUCAGGACAACAUCUGGAUAUCAAUUUUAGAUUGAAUGACAUUUCUGAGUAUUGUGGACUUCCUGGUAUGAUGUGCUUUGUGUUUACCAAACAGUUAAAAUGGAUCAGACAGACAGUGUAUCUCUACCUGUUUCAACUGACUUCAUGUUUUACGAAGACAGACUUUCAACCUUUAAAAAAUGGCCCUAAACAAAUGUCGCAAAAACAAACAGAUUUAGCUAAAAGUGGUUUUUAUUACACUGGCGAAAAUGACGCUUGUGAAGUGUUUUUCUUGUAAAAUAAAACUACAUAAUUGGGAAUCAAAUGAUAUUCCUAUGCAGGAACAUUCAAGAUGGUCUCCAAACUGUGUGUUUCUAAAUAUGAUAGGACCUAAAUGUUUAGGAUUUCUCUUUACACCUGCAAAAACAUUUAAACCAACUAUUCCGUCUGGAUGCUUCGUUUUAGAAACAUCUUCAUCAACCCAAAACUCAUCUGGUCAUUUAACUUUAGAUUCAAAACAGUCAACAUCCUACUCGGGGUUUAUAUUUGGCAAACCAUCACAAGACACUGGACUAACAUCUACAACCACGUUUCAAACUGCUGGACAGAAACGGCUGUCUGACUUCGAAGUUUGUCAAGCAGUCUAAAACAUCAGAUUUUGGUUGUUUUUUAAAAUGGCCACCAAAACUCCCUCCAAAAAGUUGAAACUAAACAUCAAAAAGGCUGUAAAAUACAGUAUGUCAAGAAAAGACAAUCAAAACGUUGAUAAAUCGUGUGUCAUACAACUAGACGGUGACAAAAGUAUUUUCCUGUCAGUAUCUGAAUUUAAAGGUCAAAACUACAUACACAUUCGAAAAUGGGAGGAUCAGAAACCAACAAAAGAAGGAAUCUCCUUAACUCAACAGAUGUGAUGGGAAAUUCAAAGAUAUGUCACUGAGUUGGACCAUAAAAUAGAUUUAUUACAAGACAAGAAUCAGGAUGUAGACUAUAAAUGCCAUCUUGGUAAAAACUGGUACAUUUGUGUGCAAAGCGGAUACCCAUUUGUAAAUAUAAGAAGAUACUGGACCCCUCCAGGAACCGUUAACAUUCACCCUACGAGGAACGGACAGAUUUUAUCUUUUGAUAUGUAUAAUAAAA